AACACUUAGGGUGGUACCUAACACUACAGGGAGAUAACUCUGUAAAAUCAGCAGAACGUUUUAAUGACGUUUUGUUGUUAAGGGAAUAUCAAGCUUCUCAAUGAUCAAAAUAAGUUUUUGUCAAACUGCUAUAUAACCAGUGUAAUUUUUCUGAUUAAACGGUUGGUUCAAAGUUUUUGAAAUUUUUAUAUUUUUGUCAAAG
rnacentral:lncRNA from 1 species